rnacentral:rRNA from 1 species
AUUGAACGCUGGCGGCAGGCCUAACACAUGCAAGUCGAACGAGUGGCGGACGGGUGUGUAAUGUCUGGGAAACUGCCUGAUGGAGGGGGAUACCUACUGGAAACGGUAGCUAAUACCGCAUACCAUCAGAUGUGCCCAGAUGGGCUUAGCUUGUGGGUGGGGUAACGGCUCACCAAGGCGACGAUCCCUAGCUGGUCUGGGGGGAUGACCGGCCAAACUGGAACUGAGACACGGCCCAGACUCCUACGGGGGGCGGCAGUGGGGAAUAUUGCACAAGGGGGGAAAGCCGGAUGCAGCAAUGCGGCGUGUAUGAAGAAGGCCUUCGGGUUGUAAAGUACUUUCAGCGGGGAGGCGUUACCCGCAGAAGAAGCACCGGCUAACUCCGUGCCAGCAGCCGCGGUAAUAC